rnacentral:rRNA from 1 species
AGCGAACGCUGGCGGCAGGCCUAACACAUGCAAGUCGAACGAACCUUUCGGGGUUAGUGGCGGACGGGUGAGUAACACGUGGGAACGGGCCUUUAGGUUCGGAAUAACUCAGGGAAACUUGUGCUAAUACCGAAUGUGCCCUUCGGGGGAAAGAUUAAUCGCCUUUAGAGCGGCCCUCGUCUGAUUAGCUAGUUGGUUGAGGUAAUGGCUCAUCAAGGCGACGAUCAGUAGCUGGUCUGAGAGGAUGAUCAGCCACAUUGGGACUGAGACACGGCCCAAACUCCUACGGGAGGCAGCAGUGGGGAAUCUUGCGCAAUGGGCGAAAGGCUGACGCAGCCAUGCCGCGUGAAUGAUGAAGGUCUUAGGAUUGUAAAAUUCUUUCACCGGGGACGAUAAUGACGGUACCCGGAGAAGAAGCCCCGGCUAACUUCGUG